UAUGUGAUCGUCUCUCGCAUAUCAAUAAGCGGAGGAAAAGAAACUAACAAGGAUUCCCCUAGUAACGGCGAGUGAAGCGGGAAGAGCUCAAAUUUGAAAUCUUAAAGAGGUUUCCCUUUACGAAUUGUAGUUUAAAGAAGUGUUUUCUGUUGAGGUUUUGGUAAAAGUUCUUUGGAAUAGGACAUCAUAGAGGGUGAGAAUCCCGUAUUUGACCUUUACUUUCAACUUUGUGAUACACUUUCAAAGAGUCGGAUUGUUUGGGAAUGCAGUCCAAAAUGGGUGGUAAAUUUCAUCUAAAGCUAAAUAUUGGCGAGAGACCGAUAGCGAAACAAGUACCGUGAGGGAAAGAUGAAAAGAACUUUGAAAAGAGAGUUAAACAGUACGUGAAAUUGUCAAAAGGGAAGCGUUUGACACCAGUGUUGUUUUUCUGAAAAUCAAUUAAAGAACUGUUUAUGCUAAGUUGUUUAGACUUUAUCAGCUAACUGUUUAGUUUUGAGCUUUUCUUUAAUGCACUUUUCAGUUAACAAGUCAACAUCAAUUUCUUUUGCUGUAAAAAAGCUUGAGGAAGGUGGCUUGAGAUUCGUCUUAAGUGUUUAUAGCCUCUUGCCUAUGCAGUCGGAGAGAUUGAGGUCUGCAGCGUAGAUCCUUCGGGGCUAAAUGCAUUUGUGCUAAGUUAUAACAUUUUAUAGACAACUUGUUGACUAUGAUUUGUCUUGUAGCUUACUCGCUUAUGUUAUUUUACCUACGCUUAGGAUGUUGACACACGCGCGUGCUCG
rnacentral:rRNA from 1 species